GCCAGGCAGCCCUGCGGAGCAGGGUGGGGGGGCGGGGGGGUGGACCUGAUGGCUGUAGCUGAUGCCCAGCUGUACCGUGGGGCGGAGAAGUGCUGCUCUGCCUGCCCGAAGGCAGCGGGUUUGCCUCUGCUGAAUCUUCAAAGCUCCUCGAUCCACACAUCGGUGGAGGGUAAGUCUGGAGAGAGAAGCCGCUGUCACCCCUCACCAACAGGAGGGAGAACGGGAGAAUGACCUUGUGGGCACUUCAGGUCACUUGACCCCAGGCCUGGGGAGCUAGUACGCUGGAUCCCAACCCUGACCUCCCCGCACGGUGGCUCCUGAGCCGCCCUGCUGGCCACAGCUGGGCAUCUAACUCCAGGAGGUCCUGGUAAGAAACACAGAACUAACAAGCAACCACCAACUGGAAGAAUUCAGGAAAGGUCAAAAGGAGAGAGGAAACUCCAGUCCAUGUGUCCUACCAACCUCCCAGGAUUCUUCUGGCUGGAAGCCAUCUUGGCUGAGUGGAUGCAAGCAUCACCAGGAAGGAUUCCUGACUCAGAAGGAUUGGCCAGAGACAACCCAGGAACAAAUCCCAUCACCAUAAAACCUAAGACUGUGAGCCACGUGGCAGAGCCCUUCUCCUGGUUUCCUUAAUGCUGCUGUUAUCUGCCCGGGCACCCCUUCCCAAUAGAGUCUCUUGUUUUGUCAGCACGUGUGUCUCCUCGGACAGUUCAUUUCCGAGUGUUAGAUAAGAGCCCACUCUCGGGCCCUUGGAAGGGAUCCCCCUUCCUGUAACAAUUCCCUGUCUCCCUACGCAAAUAUCCAAAGGAUGUGUGACCUAACUGAAUGUAUUUAAGAUAAUCUUUUUUUGUCAAUGAAAUAGUUAAUUAUCUAUUUAUAACAAGUAACUUACUUGCCAUCUGUGAGGUUGGCAAGUCAUGAUCACAGGUUAUGUGUGACAACGUAUUACUUUAGAAGAGUGCUCUCAUCACCCUAUCCUGUCACUCAAUUUUUUGCCACCUCAUCCACUGCACCUGUGGGCUCAGGGCCUCUGCCAUCAUCGAAGCCACCUUUUGAGUCAUCUGAGUCGUCUAAGCACGUCUUCUCUCCCUUCUUGGUUCUCUGCGAUGCAACAUUUUUGAAAUCUGUAGGAUGCUUUCAUGGGCAUUUUUAGCCAAGCUUCGAGCACCUAUUUGCAUAACAUUAGGGCAGCUGGCAGUCCCAUUCAUCGGAGGUGUCCCUGCCUGAUCCCCAUCCUGUAACCACAGAUUGUGUGUUCUUAAGUGUCCUCAAAGGAUCUGUGCGCACUCACACUGGAACCUAUGACGCCAUAGGAUCGGUUCCAACCUGGGUUAAACUUACUAACCACCUCUCAAGCGGUUCCUCAGAUGACCUUGGCCAGAAGGACCCAUGCAAGUUGUUUUAGGCAGCAUAUCUCACUGGUUGUUCAAAAAAUAAUCACUAAAAGUAUUCCACUACAUGAAAGUAUAUGUGCUGUCUUUCUUGAAAAUAAACAGCCUCCUGUUCCGGCA